UACGUAGGGCGCGAGCGUUGUCCGGAAUUAUUGGGCGUAAAGAGCUCGUAGGCGGCCUGUCGCGUCGGUUGUGAAAGCCCGGGGCUCAACCCCGGGUCUGCAGUCGAUACGGGCAGGCUAGAGUUCGGUAGGGGAGAUCGGAAUUCCUGGUGUAGCGGUGAAAUGCGCAGAUAUCAGGAGGAACACCGGUGGCGAAGGCGGAUCUCUGGGCCGAUACUGACGUGAGGAGCGAAAGCGUGGGGAGCGAACAGG
rnacentral:rRNA from 1 species